CUCCCCGAGGGCGCUGGCUGCACUAGCUAGUCCACUCCCGAGCCUAGCAGCGCCGUCAGGCCCACAGCGCCAACGCCGCGCAGGGCAAGGGUGCAGCCACUGGCGGGAAAGUAGUACGCGGGCCACUUCCUGGCUAGGACUACAGGGACCUUUGCAGCCCCCCACCCCGCAGCGCCCACGCACCUGCCUAGAGGAUCCAGCUAGCUCCGGACGCUCCCCGAUUCCGCGCUCCUUGCUCGCGGUACUUCCGUAAUCUAGGCUCUCCCUGCCCCCGGGGCUGGGCGGGCGCCACUGCGCCGGAACCCCGCCCCGCACCAGGCGGGCGCAGCGUCCCAAGCAGGGACGAUAGCCGGAACGCGCCCGGAAUCGGGUCCGCCAGGUUUGAGUUUCCUGCCUGAUGAUCAGAGCCAGAAGCACAGGUCUCCAGGAAAUGCCACCACUGGAUAGAGAGCCACACGCUGCUUCCUAUCAUACGUCUACCUGGACCUAACUCAGGAAGAAACAUACACUUCCUACAUUUUAUCCCAUAAGCAAAGCAACUUCUGUAGAACUGCCCAUGGAGAUUUUGUCUUAACUUCAAAAAGUGCUUCUCCUAAUUUAUUUUCUGUUGCACGGUAUCAAGAAGCACCUGUGGAAAAAAAGGAUUCAAAAGAAGAAAACCAUAACCAUCUUACAAGUUUUUGCAUUGCUGAAGACUGACGACUUCACCCAGACCCACCAACUGGUCCUGGGACCCCCACCCAGGAACCCAUUCAGUGCAGGAGGACAGCUUCAGCUCCCUGUGUCUUCACGUGUGACCCAAUUGAUCAGCACUUCCCUCUUCCUGGCCCCCUACUGACCAAACUAUCCUUUAAAAACCCUAGUCACUGAGUUUCCAGGGAGACUAAUUUGACUAAUAAUAAAACUGGUCUCCCAUUCA